GGGCGUGUGCCGGAGUGGCCAAACGGGGCAGACUGUAAAUCUGUUGGCGAAAGCCUUCGGGGGUUCGAAUCCCUCCGCGCCCA
rnacentral:tRNA from 1 species